CCUACGGGCGGCAGCAGUAGGGAAUCUUCCACAAUGGGCGAAAGCCUGACCCAGCAACGCCGCGUGAAGGAAGAAGGCUUUCGGGUUGUAAACUUCUUUUCUGAGGGACGAAGAAAGUGACGGUACCUCAGGAAUAAGCCACGGCUAACUACGUGCCAGCAGCCGCGGUAAUACGUAGGUGGCAAGCGUUAUCCGGAUUUAUUGGGUGUAAAGGGCGUGUAGGCGGGAAAGCAAGUCAGAUGUGAAAACUCAGGGCUCAACCCUGAGCCUGCAUUUGAAACUGUUUUUCUUGAGUGCUGGAGAGGCAAUCGGAAUUCCGUGUGUAGCGGUGAAAUGCGUAGAUAUACGGAGGAACACCAGUGGCGAAGGCGGAUUGCUGGACAGUAACUGACGCUGAGGCGCGAAAGCAUGGGGAGCAAACAGGAUUAGAUACCCGAGUAGUC
rnacentral:rRNA from 1 species